CCUACGGGGGACAGCAGUGGGGAAUAUUGCGCAAUGGGCGCAAGCCUGACGCAGCGACGCCGCGUGAGGGAUGAAGGUCUUCGGAUCGUAAACCUCUGUCAGCAGGGAAGAACGGUCACUGUGCUAAUCAGCAGUGAAUUGACGGUACCUGACUAAGAAGCCCCGGCUAACUACGUGCCAGCAGCCGCGGUAAUACGUAGGGGGCAAGCGUUAUCCGGAUUUACUGGGUGUAAAGGGAGCGUAGGCGGUUUGUCAAGUCCGAAGUGAAAGCCCCGGGCUCAACCCCGGGACUGCUUUUGAAACUGUUGAACGAGAUUGCAGAAGAGGUGAGUGGAAUUCCUAGUGUAGCGGUGAAAUGCGUAGAUAUUAGGAGGAACACCAGUGGCGAAGGCGGCUUACUGGACUGUAAAUGACGCUGAGGCUCGAAAGCGUGGGGAGCAAACAGGAUUAGAUACCCGAGUAGUC
rnacentral:rRNA from 1 species